GGCCGCAGUAUUCUAACUGUGCAAAGGUAGCAUAAUCAUUAGUCUUUUAAUUGAAGGCUAGUAUGAAUGGUUGGACAAGAUAUUGACUGUUUCAUAAAAGUUUAUUAUAGAAUUUUAUUUUUUAGUUAAAAAGCUAAAAUUUAUUUAAAAGACGAGAAGACCCUAUAAAUCUUUAUAUUUAUAUUAUUAUAAUUUUUUAGAAAUUUUUAAUUAUUAUAAUUUUUAAUAUUUUAUUGGGGUGAUAUUAAAAUUUAAUGAACUUUUAAUUUAUUUUUACAUUAAUUUAUGUUUUAUUGAUCCAUUAUUAGUGAUUAAAAAAAUAAGUUACUUUAGGGAUAACAGCGUAAUUUUUUUGGAGAGUUCAUAUUAAUAAAAAAGAUUGCGACCUCGAUGUUGGAUU
rnacentral:rRNA from 1 species